GUGCUCACUUUGGCAGCACGCAUACUAAAAUUGGAAUGAUACAGAGAAGAUUAACACCGUCCCUGAACAAGGAUGACAUGCAAAUCUGUGAAGUGUUCCAUAUUUUU